UAUGGGCGUAAAGCGCGCGUAGGUGGCUAAUUAAGUCAAGAGUGAAUCCCGAGGNNNNANGGAGGGCAUUGGAUACUGGUUAGCUAGAGUGGGGAGAGGAAGGUGGAAUUCCAGGUGUAGCGGUGAAAUGCGUAGAGAUCUGGAGGAAUACCGAUGGCGAAGGCAACUUUUCCUNCCCUGAAUACUGACACUGAGGUGCGAAAGCAUGGGGAGCAAACAGGAUUAGAUACCCUGGUAGUCCAUGCCGUAAACGAUGUCUGCUAACCGUUGGGGCCCUUGAGGCUUUUAUGGCGCAGCUAACGCGAUAAGUAGACCGCCUGGGGAGUACGGCCGCAAGACUAAAACUCAAAAAAAUUGACGGGA
rnacentral:rRNA from 1 species